AUGAACGCUAGCGCAAGGCCUAACACAUGCAAGUCAGGGGCAGCACAAGGAGCAAUCUGAGGUGGCGACCGGCGCACGGGUGAGUAACACGUAUGCAACCUGCCUGUAAGCGGGGAAUAACCCGUUGAAAGACGGACUAAUACCGCAUAAUACUAAAUUACUGCAUGGUAAUUUAUUUAAACAUUUAUGGCUUACAGAUGGGCAUGCGCAUGAUUAGCUAGUUGGAGAGGUAACGGCUCCCCAAGGCAACGAUCAUUAGGGGUUCUGAGAGGAAGGUCCCCCACACUGGUACUGAGACACGGACCAGACUCCUACGGGAGGCAGCAGUGAGGAAUAUUGGUCAAUGGACGAGAGUCUGAACCAGCCAAGUCGCGUGCAGGAAGAAUGUCCUAAUGGAUUGUAAACUGCUUUUGCAGGGGAAUAAAGUGCAUCACGUGUGAUGUUUUGUAUGUACUCUGCGAAUAAGGAUCGGCUAACUCCGUGCCAGCCGCAGC
rnacentral:rRNA from 1 species